rnacentral:sRNA from 1 species
GCGGAGGAAAAGAAACAAACAUGGAUAGCCCCAGUAACGGCGAGUGAAGCGGCUACAGCUCAAAUUUGAAAUCUGGCUCCUUUGGGGGUCCGAGUUGUAAUUUGCAGAGGAUGCUUCGGCAUUGGCGGCGGUCUAAGUUCCCUGGAACAGGACAUCGCAGAGGGUGAGAAUCCCGUACGUGGGCGCCUGCCUUUGCCGUGUGAAGCUCCUUCGACGAGUCGAGUUGUUUGGGAAUGCAGCUCUAAAUGGGAGGUAAAUUUCUUCUAAAGCUAAAUACCGGCCAGAGACCGAUAGCGCACAAGUAGAGUGAUCGAAAGAUGAAAAGUACUUUGGAAAGAGAGUCAAACAGCACGUGAAAUUGUUGAAAGGGAAGCGCUUGCAGCCAGACGUGCCCGCAGUUGCUCACCCAGGCUCCGGCCCGGGGCACUCUUCUGCGGGCAGGCCAGCAUCGGUUCGGGCGGUCGGACAAAGGCCUCUGUCAAGUACCUUCCUUCGGGUUGGCCUUAUAGGGGAGGCGCAAUGCGACCAGCCCGGACCGAGGUCCGCGCAUCUGCUAGGAUGCUGGCGUAAUGGCUGUAAGCGGCCCGUCUUGAAACACGGAUCAAGGAGUCUAACAUCUAUGCGAGUGUUUGGGUGUCAAGCCCGGGCGCGCAAUGAAAGUGAACGGAGGUGGGAACCCCUCGGGGCGCACCAUCGACCGAUCCUGAAGUCUUCGGAUGGAUUUGAGUACGAGCAUAGCUGUUGGGACCCGAAAGAUGGUGAACUAUGCUUGAAUAGGGUGAAGCCAGAGGAAACUCUGGUGGAGGCUCGCAGCGGUUCUGACGUGCAAAUCGAUCGUCAAAUUUGGGCAUAGGGGCGAAAGACUAAUCGAACCAUCUAGUAGCUGGUUCCUGCCGA